CGUACUGAGACACGGACCAGACUCCUACGGGAGGCAGCAGUGAGGAAUAUUGGACAAUGGGAGCAAUCCUGAUCCAGCCAUGCCGCGUGCAGGAAGACUGCCCUAUGGGUUGUAAACUGCUUUUAUACAGGAAGAAAAAGCCCGACGUGUCGGGUGUUGACGGUACUGUAAGAAUAAGGAUCGGCUAACUCCGUGCCAGCAGCCGCGGUAAUACGGAGGAUCCAAGCGUUAUCCGGAAUCAUUGGGUUUAAAGGGUCCGUAGGCGGGACAAUAAGUCAGUGGUGAAAGUUUGUGGCUCAACCAUAAAAUUGCCAUUGAUACUGUUAUUCUUGAGUGCUUGUGAAGUGGUUAGAAUGAGUAGUGUAGCGGUGAAAUGCAUAGAUAUUACUCAGAAUACCGAUUGCGAAGGCAGAUCACUAACAAUACACUGACGCUGAUGGACGAAAGCGUAGGUAGCGAACAGGAUUAGAUACCCUGGUAGUCUACGCCGUAAACGAUGGUUACUAGCUGUUCGGGUUAAUUGAGACCUGAGUGGCUAAGCGAAAGUGAUAAGUAACCCACCUGGGGAGUACGUUCGCAAGAAUGAAACUCAAAGGAAUUGACGG
rnacentral:rRNA from 1 species